GGCCACCCUGGUCUGUGUGAGAUGACAGUCAGAGGGUCAGAGUGUCAGUGGCUGAUACCAACUCAUGAAGAAGUGAAGACACACUGGCCUGGGAGUGAGGAGCCGCCCUCAGGUCUGUUGCUGGCAGGUGGUUCUCCCAGCUGGAUGGGACAAGGCAAGUCAGGGACCCGGCUGCUCAGGCCUCCUGCUCUCAGACACACGUGGGACUGCUCUGGUGUCCGCGUUCUCACCCCCGUUCUGCUGGAAGCCCUUUUUCGUGGAGGAUGUUCCAGGAUGGGCAGGUUCCCGCUUGUCUGACAAGGAAAAUACUCCCAGAUGUGACUUCUGUCUGCCCGGAUCCUCGUGCAGUGGCGUAGUGUGGCUGCUGUAAAAAUGGGCUCUGUCUGAGCCAGUUGGAAAACCCACAUGCCUGCAUAGCCUGGAAACUUCUGUCCUUUUGAUGCUAUCUUAGGGGCUGGGUGGGGGAGGCAGUAGCCCCCAGGCCCAGCUUGUCCAGCAGGUCAGGUCAGGACAUGGAGGCCAGGCUUCAGAGCGUGGCUGCUUGUCAGUGGGAUAGAGGAGAGGGCCCAGCUCAGUCGUGGUCAGAAAUUUCAGUCCCACCAGCUGUGGACUCACAGUGGCCUCAUUUGCUGGCUGCUGCUGGCUUCCGUGAGUCCCCUGAGGCAGAACUGGGGGCAAGAUGCUGCUGUCCUGCCUGGGACUUCCUCCUGCCCCUGCCCUCCCUCCUUCUGGUCUGUGACUAGGAUAACUUGACCAGCCACGUCCGUCGACCUCCAGGGCCUGGAAGCUGCUUGAUCUGUGGCCUUGGAGUCCUGACUCCAUGCUUAUGAUUAUCCCUUGCUCCGGACCCUGGUUUUCCCGGCUAUAUUACAGGGAUAGAGGCGUCCCGGGCUUGCCUCCUUCAUGGGAGGGUGGCAUGCAACUGAGCAGCUUGUUGCACCGAGAACUUACUACGAACCAGGACUGCGCCGAGUCUUCUCAAGCAAGACCUCAAGGAGCCCUCAAACAGGCCCAUGAUGCACGGGCCACCAUCAUCCUCAUUUUACAGAGAGGCAAACUGAGGCACACGACUAUGUAAACGAGCCUGAAGCAUCCGAUGGAGCCCGCCCAGCGAAGUGGGAUGACCUCAUUCCUCAUGGGAUGCAUGGCCUGUCCAGUCAGGAAACUAUACUGGGGGCUUACUAUGUGCUGGGAUACGCUGGAGAGCAGAGCCAGGAAGUCUUUGCCUAGCCUAAUGGGGAGAUGGCCUGGAGCUUGCAGUGCUGGAGAAGGCCUGGGAGUCCCCCAUGAGAAUGAGGCACCUCUCUGGAAGACCCAGUGGUAUUUUCAUCCAAUGGGGAGCCUCCAAGGGCACCUGAAGGCCACGGAGGCUUGUCCCUCCAGUGGGAACAGGCUUGGUACAACUGUCACCACACAUCUGGGUUCUCCUGCCUGUGAUGGAGAGUAAAGAACAAGAAUCCUUGGCGUGGGCCUGUUGUCGUCUUUUAUAAGGUGGCCGACGUCCUUGUAAAAUGGCCCACCGCGCCUUCUUGGUCUCUGUUCGGGGAACAAUGGAUGGCCAGUGAAGGGUUUGAAACAAGGAGGCGUCCUGCUCACAUCUGUGUUUGGACCCGACGCUUCUGGCCGCUGAGAGGAGAACGAAUAGGAGGGACACCAGCAAGGAAGAAAAGGCAGGUAGCGGGGUAUCGCAGGCUCCAGAGGGGCACGGGCCACACACGUCAGGUGAGGGAGGGGCCGUGUUGGGAGCACUAGGUGGGUGGGGCCUGAGGAGGGGCGCCGAGUGCAGCGGGCCACACCCUCACUGAGCCUUCACCGGUACAGCGGCCGGUCAUGAGGUGGGAGGGGAAACAGAGGAUGCUUGUCCCGCAAGAGCCCCACCGCCCCGGGCUGACCCACGAAGGGAGCGGGAGGAGGAGGGCCCUGGGGCGCAGCGCUGCCCACGCAGGUGCAGGCAGGGGCCGUGCGCAGCACCAGCACUGUGCGUUUUGCUGGGGUGCGUGUGUCUGUAAGUUGCUGUGCGUGUGGGGGACAGGUAGGCCCCUCCCACUGUGACGGCCCAUUUGCUCUGAGUGCCACAGUGUCCUGGCUGAGGUGACUCUAGGGGCUCUGGGGUCAGGCUGCCUUGCUUCACCACCAGCUAACUGGGUCCUCUUAGGCAAAGGACCUCACUUCCCACGUCUCCGUUUCCUCAUCUGUACGGUGAGGGUAAUAAAACUGUCUGUCUCAUGACAUUGUUGGGAGAGUUAACAGAACAAUAUGCGAAGGGCUUAGAGGAGGGCCCUGCAAGUACCAUACUGUGGCUGCUAACAGCAGGGUUACUAGUCAACACAGAUUUGGGGGCCUCCCCUACAAAGCCCCUUCCUACCCGUAACCCUCUUCUUUCCUCGAGGCCUUCAGAACCUGUUCUGGUUGGUGGUGUUCAGGAUCAUUCUUAACAUUUUAUGUUUUGGGGGUUUUUUGGUGUGUUUUUUUGGUGAAGAAGAUUGGCCCUGAGCUAGCAUCUGUUGCCAAUCUUA